rnacentral:rRNA from 1 species
GACGAACCGAGCGAACGUUAUUCGGAAUCACUGGGCUUAAAGGGCGCGUAGGCGGGCGGCCAAGUCAGGGGUGAAAGCCCCCAGCUCAACUGGGGAAGUGCCUCUGAUACUGGCCGCCUCGAGCGAGGUAGGGGCGUGCGGAACUUCCGGUGGAGCGGUGAAAUGCGUAGAUAUCGGAAGGAACACCGGUGGCGAAAGCGGCGCGCUGGACCUCUUCUGACGCUGAGGCGCGAAAGCCAGGGGAGCAAACGGG